rnacentral:tRNA from 1 species
CAAGAAGUAGCUUAAACCCAAAGCAUUCGUCUUACACACGAAAUACGUUGCACUGACCAUCUUGA